CUAUUUUUUUUUUUAAUUGAUUCUUGUUUUGUCGGGUACAAGAAAAUAAUUGUGCAAAAUUUCAUCUUGAUCCAAUAACACAAACUUUUUACCAGAAAGACAGAGUGAGUUGAUAUAAGCUUUAUUAAUAAGAAAGCUGUGGGGAGUAUUUAAUAAUAAACAUUUUUUUGGUCACCAGCUAGCUUCAAGAAUAUAAAUCUAUCACAACCCUUUUUUUGUGUAAGUUUGGAAAGUUCCUUCACAAAUGAAGAUUAUUAUGUCCUGGCCCAAACCUUCUUCAGGAUGGCAGAGGAUGGUAGUGGUCUGGCUCAAAGUCAAAACAAAUAUCAUGACAGUCUGAACACAAAGCACAUAACCAGCAGCUGUAGUAACAUGUUAUCAAUAUCAUUAACCCAUGACUGAGCUUGUCCAAUGCAAUCUUUAUUAUUAAAUGUAACAAAGAAAUGCAUGCGCUCGUCACAUCAUUAGAAGACACAAACAGAAACAUUUCUAAAGAUUUAAUAGACAUCCAACAAAACUUAAAUAAUAAUUUUGUAUUAUCCUUGAGGAUCUUUGUCUUACAAUUAUGCAUCACACAUAAUAAUACUUAUAAGCAGACAAACCAUAAUUUCAAACCACAGUUUCUCUUGUACAUUACAUGUGAAGUACUAACUGCAUGCCACCAUUACGCAGUGCCAUCUGGAUGUAUCAGUCUUUUGAUUUUAUAUCAUGAUCGAAUAUGCAGUCCCUGGUGGUAUAAUCGACCAUUAGGACAAGUGCUCUUAGAUUCCCACUCUAGGAACUCAUCAAAUUCUUUUUAAUACAUUUGAGCAUCUUGUAUUAUUUUUUACAAAUCUAAAUACUAUGCUAUUGUCUGAAACAUUUUCUUAUUUGUUCCUCAAUCAGUCUUAUAAAGUUGGUAGAAACAGAAGUUGGCAAAUGAGGAUUUUUCCAAAAAGUUUACUGGAAAUGAUUUUGAAAUCAAUUUUGUAGACUUGAAUGGCAUUCAAAUGAUAUGUGGACUCACUGGAAUGUGUGUUUAAGUCAACAAUAACAAUAAAACUGUUGGGUCCCUUGAAUAUUAAAUAAUGUCAGAUCUAGAGUUGCAUGAUAAGGUAUAACAAAUAAACAUAUGCAGUAUAAAUGCAAAACUAGGGUAUUUGUACAAUUUUUACCCUAUACCAAAAAAAACAGCAAACACAGGGGUGCCACCCAUGAGACCAAGUAAACCCUGAAACCCGAAUUUCCAAAUUUUACAAACCCUGAAAUCAUACACCCCAAACUUUACCAACCCUGAAACGUACCGCAUAUACAAUUUAAGCACCAAAAUUGUAUGAAAGAAGAACAGUAUUAAAUUACUACCUAGAUCUAUAUCAUAAUAUGCCCCCCAUGUUUUAAAUAUGUAAUUAGUAAGCCUAUCAUUAUAAUAAAUAGAGUUUGUGUGUAUUUAUUGAUAAAGCUUGUAAUACAAGAUAAGAGGAUUUAGUACAAUUUUAUAUUACCAAUGUUUGUAAACCCCCCCCCCCCCC